rnacentral:lncRNA from 1 species
GAACGAUUGUGUCAUGUGCAGAUGUUUCCUCCCAAUGGUCUUUCCAGCAAAUGCGCUGAGAUUCCUAUCGAAUGCGCCACAAGGCGUUCACGCAAAAACGGCUUAGAACUAACGUAAGUUCUAUAGCAUUUGGAAGAAAGAAAAGUGCAUUCAUUCACCCGCUAAAACAACAACCGCACGGAAUUAAUUAAGCUACUACCAUUAAUCCCAUGCACGGAUGUCUCCAUCGCCACCCACCCCCUUGACAAACACUCGCGCCACAGGCGAAUUCCACCACAUCACAUGGUUCCAAAACACAACUUUUUCCACAUAUACAUACUCUCGCAGGUUCAGUUAGGCCAAGACCACUAGAGGAGUAGAGUAGCCCACUCGAUACGCCACGGAUACAUGGCCACGAUGACGACGAUUACAUAGCCUUGUACUCCCUCCGUUCCAAAAUGGAUGACCCAAGUUUGUACUAAAGUUAGUACAAAGUUGAGUCAUCUAUUCUGGAACGGAGGGAGUAGUAGUAAUACAACGUUGCUAGUGAUAAGGAAAAUCAGACGGAGACGGAGUUCAUCCUACUCAUGCUCCUGAGGAAGGAGGUGCUCUUGGUGAGCUCGCGCAGGGGCUUGUUGGUGAAGCGGAUGAGGUUGUACGCCCACGCCCCGGCCACGGCUCCGGCCACCGGCCCCACCACGUACACCCAGAUCGACCUGUACUCACUCCCGAUCAGCGCCGGCCCCACCGUCCUCGCCGGGUUCAUCGACGCCCCCGACACCGG